UUUUUUUUUUUUUUUUUGUCUUUUUAGGGCUGUACCCACGCCAUAUGGAGGUUCCCAGGCUAGGGGUCAAAUCAGAGUGUAGUUGCUGGCCUACACCACAGCCACAGCAACACGGGAUCCGAGCCAUGUCUGUGACCUACACCACAGCUUAUGGAAACACCGGAUCCUUAACCCACUGAAUGAGGCCAGGGAUGGAAUCUGCAUCCUCAUGGAUGAUAGUCAGAUUCACUUCUGCUGCGCCACAACUGGAACUCCGGGAUUACCUUGUAUUAGAUACAACCCCUGAAAUAUUAUGCUAACUCUGGUCGAGAAGGAAGGGUAGUUAACAUACAAACCACCAGAAAUAUCUUGGGAAGACUACAAUGUUUCCACUCAUUCUUAUUUGAGAGAAUGUGAAUGAGAUGUGGGUUUUUUGUUUGCUUUUAAUUGUAGAUGAAUGAAGAACAUCUGAAAUGUAAUAUUAAUGCUUAAGGUCCAACAUCAAUCAUCCAACUGAGAGGCAGAUGCAAGCAGACACAAGAGGCCACAGAGGAUGCUUGACCCUGUUUACAGUGAUGCCUCCCACCUGUUUCUUCUCUUCUAAGCCCAAUGCUUACAGUUCAAGCUGGGGCUUGAACUGUAAGGGAUCCAGAAUGGAAAAGAAAUAGGAUGCUUCAAAGGGCUCAGCAGCCAAGAGACAAAGUAAAUAGAUGUUCACAAUAUGGAAGCCAAAACAUCUGAAACAUACAGAUGAAGAAAUUUAACCUUCUAAAAAUGACGGUCAAAUGGCGCCACUACCGGAAUUUAAUUUAUCUCUAUAACUCAGAUCAAGAGCAUAAAGUCCCUUCGGUCAUUUAUAAUAUUGGUGUAUGAGAUGUAUCAACCUAAGGAAAUCUUUAUAGCGUUCAGUGGUAGUCUUUUUUACCUGCCUUAACACUAAUUUCUUUUUUGUUUAAUAUGUAUUGUUCCCCCCACCAGCUUUAUUGAAAUAUUUGACAUAUAACAUUUUGUAAUACAUUGUGAUGAUUUGAUAAACCUAUAUAUUGUGAAAUGAUUACCAUAAUAAGGUUAAUUUACACAUCCUUCACUUAACAUAGUCACCAGUUUUUUGUUAUGGUGAGAAUAUUUAAGAUUUACCCCUGCAGUGAUUUUCAUUCUCUUAUAUUAAUUUUAUUCAUUCAUUUCUUUAAAAUUCAACUUACAUUUAGGUAAUACUAGGAAAUAUUAAUAUUUAUAGGAUGAGGAAAUGAAUGGAUGUAAUUGCAUUUAUUUCUCAUAUCAGCAAUCUGAUGAAACAGAUACUAUUCUCAUAUUGUAGAUGGGAAAACUAGAGCUCUGAAUUGUUAAGUCACUUGACCAAGGACAGAAACUCCUAGUCUGUCUGUCAUCAAAACAUUAUACAUAUUGUAUGUCUAUCUUCAUAUUUCUGGAGAUCUGAGGAGGAUAAGGAUGGAAAGUAGGGAGAUAGAAAAAAAGUGGUAAUAUUCACUUUAUAAAGGGUAGCUUUGCUUUUUUGUGAAUGAGAUUCCCUGAUGUGUAUAUUAUUAGAAAGUCUAAGGAAGAAACCCAUAGUUUGGCAAAAUACUGAAUAGAGGAACAAGGGCUUCUGCUAAUGAUUUCCUGAAACUUGCCUCAGGCUCGCAGCUGGGAAGAAGGAAAUGAUUGCAUCCCAAGGCACACAGUAACUUACUAUGGAUGGUUUCAGAUAUUUCUUAGGUUGGGAAACUUAAGGGAAAAAUAAAAUAUUAAGGUGAGGGUUGAAUUAGGACACUAAAAAAUGCUCAGUAGCCCCGGGGCAAUCCCUGGAUACUUGCUUCCAUACUUCUAACUUGCAACCAAACCUUUGGUUCCACCAUUUUAGCUGAUUGUUUAUUACUUGCCUUUGCUCAUAUAUUAUUGCUGCCUUCUGAAAUAAAACACUUCAAUCCAGGGAUCGUAGCAACAGUACCAGUCUCUUGGUGAUUUAUUCUUCAUCACUCUUCCAGAGGUAGCUCCCACCUUGUGUUGUCACUACCCUCUCUUCCUUCCUGAUAUUUCUAAAACAUAUUUCCCUUUAUUUUUUCCCAUCCUCAAAAGGGGGCUAACCCGUGUUUCUUUGUUUUUCACCAUCUGUAAAGGUCACUAUAUAUUUUUCAUACUCUCUUAUCCAUUUUUUCCAUUCCUCUUCAUUCUAUUAAACACUUUUAAUUUUAGGAACACAUUUUUCAUGUUCAUCAUAAUUACUAGAUAUCUGAAAGCUUGCUUUGAAUAAUAGUACCCCCAGUAGGAAGAAGGGUUAAUUUGAUAUCUGUUGGACAGCCAAAAUGGAAUAAAAUUUUCACUUUUCCCAUUUUUAUAAUUUGCCUAAAAAUGUAUAAAACUAUUUAUUUUAUUAAGUAUAGUACAUUAACCUUGUGAAUAUGCUAAUGACUAAAAAUCUGCUGUCUCGGCAACUUCCCUGAACAUAAAAUUUAUCUUUGUUCAUCACAGAGAUUUUAAUUAUAUAUUAUUAUUUCCUAAGAGCACCUCCUGUUCCAAAUUGAUGCAAUCUUCAAAAUGGAAGUGAUGUUCAGUGAAAGCCGCAUAAGAAGCAAAGCAGAACCUGUGGCUAACACUGACUGUGGGCAUCAGUCAAGUUCAACUGCAUAUUUCUAUCUGCUGACCUCUCUAGGACUCUGAUUGCUCAGGUCAGUGGUCACUGACUCUUAGCAGGGGAUAAAAAAGAGCUUUUAUUCUUUGAGCGCCAUUACAAUCCCAAGUUUCUUGGUGGAUUCUUAUGUAGCACAGGUCAGGAUAAAAUCACAUUAUUCCAAGCAAUGCAAAAGUUAUAAAUUAUUCUUCCUGGCCAUGGUGAAAUAAAAAAUGGCAAAGUGCAAUCAAAUGUUCAAAGAUUUCUCUCAAAGCUGAGAAAUGAAUGAUGUUAUCUGGUAUGACAUUAUAUGUUCCUUCAGUAAAACAAAUCCAGAUUCAAUCAUUCAAGGGACACUUCCUGAGAUCAUGAUAAAUUCUUAGGUUAGCCUUCUAAAUUUCGAGGUGUGUGGAAGGGCUUUUUAUUUUGUGUCUGGUUAAGAUUCCUAUCUAUAUCAGUCUCCUACUGGCCUGGCUGUGAUGAAAGGCACAGGGAUUGCCCCACAGUCAGCUCAAUUAUUCUCGUCCUGAUUGAGGUUUUGGCUGGGUGAUGAUGAACUGCCAUCACCCAGUGGCUGAUUUAGUGGCUGAUUUGCUCAGAGUAAAUCCCCAGAUGGCUUUAUUUUUAGAUUCGAGACAAGAUUCCAAAAGACAGCAUUUUGUCCCUACUUCCAUGGUGAUUAUAGCUCAAAGAGCUGGAGGGAGGUAUUCUUAAUGGCCUCAAAAGUGGUUAGGAAUGAGUUAAAUUUGACCAGAUUAGAUAAUGGCUACUGAUUACUUAGUGCUCUAUAAGAGUUGAUGUCUCCCUACUUUUUAUAGGACAGACCAAACAGCAUCUGAAAAAUUCUGCUAUUUUUUUUCACCUAUCUGUCCUGCUCAAUGCUGGGAUGUCAAUAGGACAUUCUAUAUUUAGCUUCCUGAAUCUAGAAAUUAAAUGCCAGCAUGAUCCAUUCAGAGUUGUGUUUCUAUACAUGUGGGUUUGUUUAGCCCUGAGGGAAAAAGUUGCAGGUGACCUUUCUUUCUUGUGCUUACUAGACUCAAAAAUACAUAUAGAAGUUAGACGAGACCAGCGCAGAAGGACGGAUAUAUAUAUAUAUAUAUAUAUAAAAAGAUCCACAAUUGGUUGAAUCUGUAGAUCCGUAACUGUGGCUACAGAAGAACCACAUAUAUAGGGAGCUGAUUAUAAGUUAUAAGCAAAUCUUUGACUACAUAGAAGAUCAGUGCUCCUAACCCCUGCAUUGUUCAAGGGUCAACUGGAUUUUCUGUUUCUAUGGAUCUGACUAGAUACCUCAUGUAUGUGGAGUAAUGCACUGCAUGUGCUUCUGUGACUGGCUUAUUUCAUGCAGCAAAAUGUCCUCAAGGUUCAACUUCAUUGCAGCAUAUGACAGGGUUUUCCUGGUUUUUUUUUUUGUGACCGAAUAAUAUCCCAUUGUAUGUAUAUAUCACAUUUUCUUUAUACAUUCAGCAACUGGUGGACAUUUAGAUUGUUUCUGGCUCUAUUAUGAAUAUUGCUACAAUAAACAAAGGAGUAAAAUAUCUCUUAGAGACUUUGAUUUAAAUUAUUAUGGAUAUAUGCCCAGAAGUGAGAUUUCUGAGUCAAAUAGUUGUUUUACUUUUAAUUUUUCGAAGAACCUGAAUACUGUGUUCUAUAUUGGCUACACCAAUUUACACCAAUUUACACCAACACUGCACAGGGUUCAAAUUUCUCUACAUCCUGGCCAACACUUGUUAUUUUCAGUUUUGUUUUGUUUUGCUUUGAUUAUAGUAGCCAUCCUAAUACCUCAUUGUACUUUUUAUUUGCAUUUCCCUGAUGUUCAAUAAUACUGAACAUCUUUUCACAUAUAUAUUGACUUUUUGUAUAUAUUCUUUGAAGAAAUGUUAAUUUUUAAUUGAGUCAUUCAGUUUUUUUGCUAUUUAAUGAGAUCUUAAACUUGCUAGGACUUGUUUUGUGAUCUAACAUGUGAUCUAUCCUAGAGUAUGUUCCUGUGUGCAUGAGAAGAAUGUGUAUUCUAUUGUUGUUGGGUGUAAUGUUCUAUAAAUAUGUUAGGUCAUUUGUUCUAUAAUGUUAAACUUUUCUGUUUCCCUCAAUCUUUUCUCUGAAUGUUUUAUUCUUUAUGAAAGUGAGAUAUUGAAAUCCUCUAUGAUUAUUGCUUUGCUGUCUAUUUCUUCAUUCAGUUCUAUCAGGUUUUCUUAAUACAUUUGGGUGCUCUGGUGUUGAGUGCUUAUGUAAUUGUAAUUAUUAUAUCUUCCCAAUGAAUUGACCCUUUUAGCAUUAUAUAAUGUUCUUCUUUGUCUCUUUUGACAGGUUUUGACUUAAAGUCUAUUUUGUCUGAUAUAAAUAUGGCCAUUCAUUUGACUAUUUUUAGUUACCAUCUCUUUUAUUUACCCUCUGCAUGAAUUGUAUUUUUCUAUUCUUUCACUUUCAGGAAUGUGUGUCCUUUAAAUAUAAAACUAAUCUCUCAUAGAUAGCAUACAAUUGAAGGUUGGCUUUUUAUCUAUUAAACCACUCUAUUUCUCUUGACUGGAGUUUACAUUUACAUUUAAAGUAAUUAUUGAUGACAGGAUUAAGAUGGUAGAAAAGAAGGACUAGAGCUCAACUUCUCUAAUAAAAACAGCAAAAUUACAAUCAAAUGCAGAACAACCUUCAAUCAAAUCGACUGGAAACUUUCAAAAAGAUAUCCUACUUCAGAAGACAAAGAGGAGGCCACAUCAAGAGGUAGAAGGAGUGAUCAUGUGAUAUAAGCAACCCCAUACCUGCUGGGUGGGAACCCUAUAGACUGGAAAGUAACUGUAUCACAGAGACUCACCUAUAGGAGUGAGAGUUCUGAGCCCCAAGUCAGGUCCCCGUGCCAAGGGAUCUAGCACCGGGAGAAAGAGCGCCUGGAGCAUCUGGCACUGAAGGCCACUGGGGCUUGUGUGCAGGAGCACCAUAGGAUUGGGGAAUUGGAGAUCCAAUUCUUGAAAGGCACACACAGUCUUUCAUGUGCACUGGGUUCCAGGGCAAAGCAGAGGCUCCAUAGGAAUCUGGGUUGGACCUGGCUGGAGUUCUUGGAGGAUCUCCUGGGAAAACAGGGGUGACUGUGAUUCAUUAUGGGGGAAGGACAUUGGAGGCAAAGCUCUCGGGAAGGGAAUAUUCAUCAGCAUGUGUUCUUCUAGAGGUGGCCAUUUUGGGAAAAUCUGACCCCACCCAUCAGCACUGUGAAGCCCCAGGCCAAACAAUAAUCCAGAUAGAAUCAGAGCCCUACCUAUCAGUAAAGAGGCUGCCUAAAGAGCCCCCAGGCACCCUCUAAUCUCACCUAGAGACACAGACCCACAAAACAGACACAGGAAUCAGCCCCACGUACCAGUGGGCAGGCACCAGUAGUCCCAUCAUAAAGCUUAUAGCAGGCCUUUGUACCAACUUCAGCCACAAGGGGGGGGAAGACAUCAAAAGUAAGACAGGCUAAUAGUGGGGGACUUCAACACUCCCCUUACAGCAAUGGACACAUCAUUCAGACAGAAAAUUCAUAAGGAGACACAGGCCCUGAAUGAAGCAUUAGACCAG
rnacentral:lncRNA from 1 species